UACGGAGGGUGCAAGCGUUGCUCGGAAUUAUUGGGCGUAAAGGGUAGGUAGGUGGUCUCAUUUGUCUGGGGUGAAAGCCUUGAGCUUAACUCAAGAAGUGCCCCAGAAACGGUGAGACUAGAGUUCUGGAGAGGGUCGUGGAAUUCCCGGUGUAGCGGUGAAAUGCGUAGAGAUCGGGAGGAACACCAGAGGCGAAGGCGGCGACCUGGACAGAUACUGACACUCAACUACGAAAGCGUGGGGAGCAAACGGG
rnacentral:rRNA from 1 species